rnacentral:tRNA from 1 species
GUAAUUCCACUUAUGGGGUGGUAAACUCCUCUUAUCA